GAGGAUAUAGCUCAGUGGUAGAGCACAUGCCUGGCGUGCAGGAGGUCCUGGGUUCAAUCCCCAGUACCUCCA